rnacentral:misc_RNA from 1 species
UGUCAGUUGGCCCAACCCCAUCAUCACAAAGUUCACACCCAUUAGGAACAUUGGCUACAAGAUAAAAAGAGGGACCUAUGGGAAAUUAACAAAUCCACUACUGAAUUGUUUGUACAACACUGCCAUUGACACAUUAAGGGAGAAAAAUCAACAAAACGGAUUGGAAAAGCUCAACAGCAGAUGAACCGCAAGAUAGAAUCACAAACUGACUUUUUAGCUUAAUUGCUGGGAUAUGCCCGCAUCUAAAAUACAAGUCUUUAAUUCAGUUGUGGAGCUGGAAAGAGAAGUGAGAUGGUUGAAACCAGCAAAACUUGAGUUCAUCAUGUGCUUUCCUAUAAAUUGUAUAAACACAAUCAUAUUCUCCAGUUCUUUUUAUAAAAUGGUUAUUUUGAGGCCUUAAACCAGUAACCUACAACCUCCAGCUUGCAAGUUUUGCAAGUCCAAGGCUUUUACCAUUAUACCAGAUAGCCCUUGCAUCUAUUAUGUCAAAAUGGAAA